rnacentral:rRNA from 1 species
GACAGAGGGUGCAAGCGUUGUUCGGAAUUACUGGGCGUAAAGCGCAUGUAGGCGGUUUGGCAUGUCAGGUGUGAAAUCCCAUGGCUUAACCAUGGAAGUGCACUUGAAACUGCCAGACUAGAGUGCAGAAGAGGAAGGUGGAAUUCCUGGUGUAGAGGUGAAAUUCGUAGAUAUCAGGAGGAACACCCGUGGCGAAGGCGGCCUUCUGGUCUGUUACUGACGCUGAGAUGCGAAAGCGUGGGGAG